UACAGAGGUCUCAAGCGUUGUUCGGAUUCAUUGGGCGUAAAGGGUGCGUAGGUGGCGCUGUAAGUCGGGUGUGAAAUUUCGGAGCUUAACUCCGAAACUGCAUUCGAUACUGCGGUGCUUGAGGACUGGAGAGGAGACUGGAAUUCAUGGUGUAGCAGUGAAAUGUGUAGAGAUCAUGAGGAAGACCAGUGGCGAAGGCGGGUCUCUGGACAGUUCCUGACACUGAGGCACGAAGGCCAGGGGAGCAAACGGG
rnacentral:rRNA from 1 species